rnacentral:rRNA from 1 species
UACGUAGGGCGCAAGCGUUGUCCGGAUUUAUUGGGCGUAAAGAGCUCGUAGGCGGUCUGUCGCGUCGGAUGUGAAAACCCGGAACUCAACUCCGGGCCUGCAUUCGAUACGGGCAGACUUGAGUACUGCAGGGGAGACUGGAAUUCCUGGUGUAGCGGUGGAAUGCGCAGAUAUCAGGAGGAACACCGGUGGCGAAAGCAGCUUCUUGGUUCACUCCUGACGUUGAGACACGAAA